rnacentral:sRNA from 1 species
CGUACAUUAGUAUAGCUUUCUUGGACCUGGAAAAUUUAAUAAUCUGCCUUUCACAAGCCUCUGAUGCAGACCUGAUGCAGAUAAUAGGAUGCAAUUUUUAAUUUGCCGUUAAGCACAUUUGACGCAAAAUAAGUGGGAGUGCUUUAGAACUUUCAGUGGCCUGGCAGUGUCAAACAUCGGUCAGGCCAGCUUAUUUAGUAUCAUAUGUUGUCCAUAUGGGCGUUCGAUAAACUUAAGGGAAAAACGAAGCCGUAUGAAUGAAAAUUUUCUCACAUGAACCCUGCUAAGUCGCUGGAGGUAAGGAAAUUCGGCCUAGCGAUGUGAACACAAUUGAGGC